rnacentral:rRNA from 1 species
UACGAAGGGGGCUAGCGUUGCUCGGAAUCACUGGGCGUAAAGGGUGCGUAGGCGGGUUCUUAAGUCAGAGGUGAAAUCCUGGAGCUCAACUCCAGAACUGCCUUUGAUACUGAGAGUCUUGAGUAUGACAGAGGUGAGUGGAACUGCGAGUGUAGAGGUGAAAUUCGUAGAUAUUCGCAAGAACACCAGUGGCGAAGGCGGCUCACUGGGUCAUUACCGACGCUGAGGCACGAAAGCGUGGGGAGCAAACAGG